CACUGGGAGGGUGAUAUGGGGUGCUGGGGGGGCACUGGGAGGGUGAUACAGGGAGCUGGGAGGGACUGGGAGCCACUGGGAGGGUGAUACAGGGCACUGGGAGGGACUGGGAGCCACUGGGAGGGUGAUACAGGGAGCUGGGAGGGCACUGGGAGAGACUAGGAGCCACUGGGAGGGCACUAGAAGCCAGUGAGAGGGACUGGGAGGCACUGGGAGCAACUUAGGAUGGGACUGGGAGGCACUGGGAUGGACUGGGAGGCACUGGGAUGGACUAGGAGGCACUGGGAGCAGCCUCCAAGGGCAGCUACGGGGAGAGCGGCGUCGACGCCUUCCUGCAGAGCUCCCGCGAGGCCGCCGUGUGCUGGAGGCGGCGACGCGCGCCAACCUGUCGGGGCACUUUGCGUGGGUGGGCUCAGACAGCUGGGGCGCCAAGCUGGGCCCGGUGCAGGGACUGGAGGGGGCGGCCCACGGCGCCAUCACCAUCCUGCCCAAGCGCGCCUCCGUGCCCGGUUUCGACGAGUACUUCACGUCGCGCUCCCUGGAGAACAACCGCCGCAACCUCUGGUUCCACGAGUUCUGGGAGGAGGACUUCAACUGCCACCUGCCCCACAGCGCGCCCCACGGCGCGCCCCACGGCGCCGCCGGCCCCAUGCGCAAGUGCACAGGUAACCCCACUGCCUGCCCCAUAGCGCCCCACUACCUGCCCCAUAGCACACGUGGCUGCCCCACAGCACCCUUAUCCACCACACAGCACUCCUGUCUGCCCCAUAGCGCCCACAUCUGCCCCAUAGCGAUCCUGUCUGCCCCAUAGCGAUCCUGUCUGCCCCAUAGUGCCCACAUCUGCCCCAUAGAGAUCCUGUCUGCAACAUAGCGCCCUCAUCUGCCCCAUAGUGAUCCUGUCUGCCCCAUAGCGAUCCUGUCUGCCCCAUAGCAAUCUUGUCUGCAACAUAGCGCCCACAUCUGCCCCAUAGCGAUCCUGUCUGCCCCAUAGCGCCCUCAUCUGCCCCAUAGCGAUCCUGUCUGCCCCAUAGCNAGGACGGACCAGUAUAGACCAGGACGGACCAGUAUAGACCAGGAUGGACCAGUAUAGACCAGGAUGGGGCAAAGGGGUUUCGAUCAGAGCUCGGCCCCGGUAUGGAUCAGUGGCAGGUCCAGGAAAGGCCCAGUGCUGCCCAUGGUGGCAUAGAACCGACCCCAGUAUGGACCAGUAUAGACCAGUAUGGACCAGUAUAGACCAGGAUGGACCAGUAUAGACCAGUAUAGACCAGGAUGGGGCGAAGGGGUUUUGAUCAGAGCGCUCAGCCCCGGUAUGGAUCAGUGGCAGGUCCUGGAAAGGCCCAGUGCUACCCAUGGUGGCAUGGAACCGACACCAGUAUGGACCAGUAUAGACCAGUAUGGACCAGUAUAGACCAGUACAGACCAGUGUAGACCCAUAUGGGAUGCAGUACUUUUGUUCAGGCCCAGUACGGACCAGUGGCAGGUCCAGGACACUCCCAUUGCCGCCCAUGGUGGCAUGCAACUGACCCCAGUAUAGACCAGUGCAGACCAGUAUAAACCAGUACAGGCCAUUAUAAACCAGUACAGACCAGUAUGGGUGUGGGGCUUUUGUUCGGGGCACUCAGCCCCAGUACAGAUCAGUGGCAGGUCCAGGAAAGGCCCAGUGCUGCCU
ensembl:lncRNA